rnacentral:lncRNA from 1 species
UAUCGAUAAAACCUUUGAAAAGUAGAAUAAUGAUCGUCGCAACCAUAUUCGGGUUCGGGGGUCGAUUACGCAAUGGGAAGGUAUUAACACCCCUCACAUCUGUUGUACUCAAUGGGAAACUUUUAGUUUAAUUUGCGAUUUGAAUGUUAGGUUAUGUUGUUUGUUUUCUUCGAGUGAAUAAAGAUUGAAAGUAUAGAUGGAUGGAAACCUCAGAAGGGGGAAAAGGGAGGUUUUUUAUUAGUGUGCUCGCUAAGAUCUAGC